UGCCAGCUUGGGAAUAGUGAGGGUGAGGAGAGAGAGGAGGAGAAUCCUUUCCACAGACAUUACAGCCAGCAUGUCAGCAGAGAAGUGGAAGGGACCCAUUGCUCCAAGGCAUAGAAAAGAAGAGUUUUCACAUCAGAACAUGAUGAACAUUGUGUGUUCUCACAGGACUGGGACUGAGGACACAGAAUCAAAGCACCCCCAAUAGAUGGUCAUCCAGCCUUUGUUUAAAAACCUCCAGAGAAGAAGAUUCCACCAUGCUCUGCGGAAACAUAUCCACUACCGAACAGCUCUCGCCAUCUGGAAGUUCUUUCUAAAGUUUAGGUGGAAUCUCUUUUCCUGCAAUUUGAAUCCAUUUCUCCAUGUUCUAGUCUCCAGAGCAGCAGAAAACAACUUUGUCCUCUCCUCAAGAUGACAUCCUUUCAAAUAUGUAAACAUGGCCUUCGUGUCCCCUCUGUUUUCUGUUCUCCAACCUAAACGUACCAGCUCCCUAAGCCAUUCAUUCCUCAUAGGGCUUGGUUUCCAGACCUUUGAUAAUUGUCGUUACCCUUCUCUGGACACUUUG